AGCAGCCGCGGUAAUUCCAGCUCCAAUAGCGUAUAUUAAAGUUGUUGCAGUUAAAAAGCUCGUAGUUGAAUUUCGGGAUCAAUACGUCUGUCGUGCCUUUGGUACGUACGGGUGUAAUUGGUUUCUACCUUCUGAGGAUCCUUGAUGUCAUUAAUUUGGUGUCUUGGGGAAUCAGGACUGUUACCUUGAAAAAUUAGAGUGUUUAAAGCAGGCAUACGCUUGAAUACAUUAGCAUGGAAUAAUGAAAUAGGACGUUCGAUUCUAUUUUGUUGGUUUCUAGGAUCGACGUAAUGAUUAAUAGGGAUAGUUGGGGGCAUUAGUAUUCAAUUGUCAGAGGUGAAAUUCUUGGAUUUAUUGAAGACUAACUACUGCGAAAGCAUUUGCCAAGGAUGUUUUCAUUAAUCAAGAACGAAAGUUAGGGGAUCGAAGACGAUCAGAUACCGUCGUAGUCUUAACCAUAAACU
rnacentral:sRNA from 1 species